rnacentral:rRNA from 1 species
AAGGAGCUUGCUCCUUUGACGUUAGCGGCGGACGGGUGAGUAACACGUGGGUAACCUACCUAUAAGACUGGAAUAACUCCGGGAAACCGGGGCUAAUGCCGGAUAAUAUUUAGAACCGCAUGGUUCUAAAGUGAAAGAUGGUUUUACUAUCACUUAUAGAUGGACCCGCGCCGUAUUAGCUAGUUGGUGGGGUAAUGGCUUACCAAGGCAACGAUACGUAGCCGACCUGAGAGGGUGAUCGGCCACACUGGAACUGAGACACGGUCCAGACUCCUACGGGAGGCAGCAGUAGGGAAUCUUCCGCAAUGGGCGAAAGCCUGACGGAGCAACGCCGCGUGAGUGAUGAAGGUCUUCGGAUCGUAAAACUCUGUUAUUAGGGAAGAACAAAUGUGUAAGUAACUGUGCACGUCUUGACGGUACCUAAUCAGAAAGCCACGGCUAACUACGUGCCAGCAGCCGCGGUAAUACGUAGGUGGCAAGCGUUAUCCGGAAUUAUUGGGCGUAAAGCGCGCGUAGGCGGUUUCUUAAGUCUGAUGUGAAAGCCCACGGCUCAACCGUGGAGGGUCAUUGGAAACUGGGAAACUUGAGUGCAGAAGAGGAAAGUGGAAUUCCAUGUGUAGCGGUGAAAUGCGCAGAGAUAUGGAGGAACACCAGUGGCGAAGGCGACUUUCUGGUCUGUAACUGACGCUGAUGUGCGAAAGCGUGGGGAUCAAACAGGAUUAGAUACCCUGGUAGUCCACGCCGUAAACGAUGAGUGCUAAGUGUUUAGGGGGUUUCCGCCCCUUAGUGCUGCAGCUAACGCAUUAAGCACUCCGCCCUGGGGAGUACGACCGCAAGGUUGAAACUCAAAGGAAUUGACGGGGACCCGCACAAGCGGUGGAGCAUGUGGUUUAAUUCGAAGCAACGCGAAGAACCUUACCAAAUCUUGACAUCCUUUGACAACUCUAGAGAUAGAGUCUUCCCCUUCGGGGGACAAAGUGACAGGUGGUGCAUGGUUGUCGUCAGCUCGUGUCGUGAGAUGUUGGGUUAAGUCCCGCAACGAGCGCAACCCUUAAGCUUAGUUGCCAGCAUUAAGUUGGGCACUCUAAGUUGACUGCCGGUGACAAACCGGAGGAAGGUGGGGAUGACGUCAAAUCAUCAUGCCCCUUAUGAUUUGGGCUACACACGUGCUACAAUGGACAAUACAAAGGGCAGCUAAACCGCGAGGUCAUGCAAAUCCCAUAAAGUUGUUCUCAGUUCGGAUUGUAGUCUGCAACUCGACUACAUGAAGCUGGAAUCGCUAGUAAUCGUAGAUCAGCAUGCUACGGUGAAUACGUUCCCGGGUCUUGUACACACCGCCCGUCACACCACGAGAGUCUGUAACACCC